CCCGCGCUCCUCCGGGCAGAGCGCGUGUGGCGGCCGAGCACAUGGGCCCGCGGGCCGGGCGGGCUCGGGGCGGCCGGGACGAGGAGGGGCGACGACGAGCUGCGAGCAAAGAUGUGCCCCGGGACCCCCGGCACCUUCCAGUGGAUUUCCUUGCGGAAAGGAUGUUGGCGGUCCCUGUGACCUGUGGAGACACGGCCAGAUCUGCCCUCCAGACCAUAGCUGUCUGCAGUGCAGGAAGCCAACUAUUAAGGGGAAACAAAAGUGUUCUUAGGAGUCCUGCUGUCACUGUGGAUUGAGCCGGUGAAGCCCUGAGGGAUUUCAUCGCUGAGGUGGAUGGAGAAGCAGCUGGGGGCCUUGGCUGUAAGGACCCCUAAGGGCCUGAUCUUUUGGCCAGAAGGAGAUUAAAAAGAUGCCCCUCAAGAUGGCUGUGCCUGUCAGCUGCAUGGAGCUUCGUUCAAGUAUUUUCUGAGCCUGAUGGAUUUACAGUGAUCUUCAGUGGUCUGGGGAAUAACGCUGGUGGAACCAUGCACUGGAAUGACACACGCCCGGCACAUUUCAGGAUACUAAAAGUGGUUUUAAGGGAGGCUGUGGCUGAAUGCCUCAUGGAUUCUUACAGCUUGGAUGUCCAUGGGGGACGAAGGACUGCAGCUGGCUGAGAGGGUUGAGAUCUCUGUUUACUUAGAUCUCUGCCAACUUCCUUUGGGUCUCCCUAUGGAAUGUAAGACCCCGACUCUUCCUGGUGAAGCAUCUGAUGCACGUUCCAUCCGGCGCUCAGCUGGGCUUGAGCUGACCAUACUCCCUGGAGCCUUCUCCCGAGGUGCGCGGGUGACCUUGGCACAUACAGCCAUCAUGAUGGUACUUUAAGUGGAGGCUGAAUCAUCUCCCCUUUGAGCUGCUUGGCACGUGGCUCCCUUGGUGUUCCCCUUUUACUGCCAGGACACUGAGAUUUGGAGAGAAUCCUGUUACACCUGGGAUUUAGGCACUUUCAAUCUGAAAAAAUACAUAUCCUUUCAGCACUCUGGACGGACUUGAGAACUGUCCUUACGUGACCUAAAGCUGGAGUAUUUUGAGAUUGGAGAAUUAAGGCCAACAGAGAUUUUGAGAAACACAUUGAAGGAUCUGUUAACACUUGAUAUACCCAAUAAAAGCAGUGGUUGUGCCAGUGCUGAUCUGUCUUGAUGUGAAUGUGAACAAUGGGAACCUGAGCUGAGCAGUUAAUGCUAGGGUGACAGAAACUGGACCUCUCCCAAGACAUGUGACAGAGUAAUACAGCAGCCAACUUCUUCGCCAAAUUAAAGUUUUACAAGAUUUAACCUGUCAUCAAGACCUGGGAUUUUGGUGAGCCAGUCUUGGUGCUCUGUGUUCACCUGGUUCAUCUGAGGAGCUGCAUCUACCCUGCCCAUGCCAUAGAUCCUGCCCUGUUUGCUUCUCCUGUUGCUGCUAGUGGACAUGAGGUAACCACAGCCUAGUUCUGUGAUAAGCUCUUCACACCUGUACCCAUAUGGACUGUGGGAGAGUUUCUCUGAUAUGGACUGUGAUGCGGGUUUGGGUAACUCCACGCAAGACUGUCUUUACCUGCCUUUGAAGGACAGAAUAACGGGCUCCCAGAUUCACAAGCCCCACCAAGAGGAUCACCCCAGGAACGCUUGGAGGCUGAGGAGUUCACUGAGGCUACUGCAUCUUGAGACUCAGGAUGAAGACCCAGCUUGGGGCUGUCAAAGGUUUUUUGCAUGUCUGACACCCAUGACUCCACCUGGACCUUAUGGCUCCACCCAGAAGCAAUUCAGCCCAACAGGAGGACAGCUUCAACCCAUUACGAUUUCAUCUCUGCCCCAACCACUCAGCAGCAAGCACCUGUUACCUGUCCACCCCCACCCCUUCCCCCAAACUGCCUUUGAAAAAUCCCUAACCUAUGAGCUUUGAAUAAGAUGAGUACGAACUUCAUCGCCCACGUGGCGUGGCCGGCCUCGUGUCUAUUAAAUUCUUUUUCUACUACAA
rnacentral:lncRNA from 1 species